rnacentral:rRNA from 1 species
UAGGGAAUCUUCCGCAAUGGGCGAAAGCUUGACGGAGCAACGCCGCGUGAGUGAUGAAGGUCUUCGGAUCGUAAAACUCUGUUAUUCGGGAAGAACACAUGUGUAAGUAACUAUGCACGUCUUGACGGUACCUAAUCAGAAAGCCACGGCUAACUACGUGCCAGCAGCCGCGGUAAUACGUAGGUGGCAAGCGUUAUCCGGAAUUAUUGGGCGUAAAGCGCGCGUAGGCGGUUUUUUAAGUCUGAUGUGAAAGCCCACGGCUCAACCGUUGAGGGUCAUUGGAAACUGGAGAGCUUGAGUGCAGAAGAGGAAAGUGGAAUUCCAUGUAUAGCGGUGAAAUGCGCAGAGAUAAGGAGGAGCACCAGUGGCGAAGGCGACUUUCUGGUCUGUAACUGACGCUGAUGUGCGAAAGCGGGGGGAUCAAACAGG